ensembl:snRNA U6 U6 spliceosomal RNA
GUGAUUGUUUCAACGGCACAUAUACUAAAAUUGGAAUGAUACAGAGAAGAAGAGCAUGGCUUCCGAACAAGGAUGACACGAAAAUUCGUGAAGGUGCCAUAUUUUUU